GGGGGUGGAUGGGUCCCGGUGGGUCUCGCGGUCUUCAAAACCGUUGCGAGGACACCUGCGUGUUCUUGGGUGGGUUCGACUCCCACGCACCCCCGCCA
rnacentral:tRNA from 1 species